UUAAGGUAAACUUGUUAAAUACAUAAUCGUGCUAUAAGAAUUUUUAACUUGUAAUAAAACAGAUAGCACAAUGUCUGGCCCCACGGUGCUUGUGUCUUUUGUUUUAAUUGUAUUUUGCGCGUCAGUUACACUUGUUAGCGCAGACGAUGCAGCAUUCAAAUGUGGCGCCAAUUCUUCUCCAACCGUAUGUAUGAGGUACUGUCCCUCUCAAGCCUGCAACUAUACGUCAAAUGGUCGUCUCUGCAUUCCAGGACCAUGCAGGAGUGGCUGUAACUGCCAUGAAGGGUACUGUAAGACAUCCAAUGACGAAUGCGUGACAAUAAUGUCAUAAUAAAAAUUAUGAAUAA